GCCUGGAUAGCUCAGUUGGUAGAGCAUCAGACUUUUAAUCUGAGGGUCUGGGGUUCAAGUCCCUGUUCAGGUG
rnacentral:tRNA from 2 species